rnacentral:pre_miRNA from 1 species
AGUGUAAUUGUUGGGUGAUAUGGUAAGUUCCAUUGCUAAUUUCAAAAGGAGCUACAAAACUGUUUUCCGGAGUAACUGUAUCAUUUUAUAUUCCCAUCAGCAGU